rnacentral:rRNA from 1 species
UGUCUCAGUUCAGAUUGCAGUCUGCAACUCGACUGCAUGAAGUCGGAAUCGCUAGUAAUCGCAGAUCAGUAAAGCUGCGGUGAAUACGUUCCCGGGCCUUGUACACACCGCCCGUCACACCACGGGAGUCGGUCGCGCCUGAAGCCGGUGGCCUAUCAGUAAUGGGGGAGCCGUCUAUGGCGAGAUUGGUAACUGGGGUGAAGUCGUAACAAGGUAUC